rnacentral:rRNA from 1 species
GACGAACGCUGGCGGCGUGCUUAACACAUGCAAGUCGAACGCUGAAGCUCAGCUUUUGUUGGGUGGAUGAGUGGCGAACGGGUGAGUAACACGUGAGUAACCUGCCCCCUUCUUUGGGAUAACGCCCGGAAACGGGUGCUAAUACUGGAUAUUCACUGGUCUUCGCAUGGGGGUUGGUGGAAAGGGUUUUUCUGGUGGGGGAUGGGCUCGCGGCCUAUCAGCUUGUUGGUGGGGUGAUGGCCUACCAAGGCUUUGACGGGUAGCCGGCCUGAGAGGGUGACCGGUCACAUUGGGACUGAGAUACGGCCCAGACUCCUACGGGAGACAGCAGUGGGGAAUAUUGCACAAUGGGCGCAAGCCUGAUGCAGCGACGCCGCGUGAGGGAUGGAGGCCUUCGGGUUGUGAACCUCUUUCGCUCAUGGUCAAGCCGCAACAAUGGUUGUGGUGAGGGGAGUGGGUAAAGAAGCGCCGGCUAACUACGU